rnacentral:rRNA from 1 species
AAAUGGAAGUCUGGGAAACUGCCUGAUGGAGGGGGAUAACUAUUGGAAACGGUAGCUAAUACCGCAUAACGUCGCAAGACCAAAGAGGGGGACCUUCGGGCCUCUUGCCAUCAGAUGUGCCCAGAUGGGAUUAGCUAGUAGGUGGGGUAAUGGCUCACCUAGGCGACGAUCCCUAGCUGGUCUGAGAGGAUGACCAGCCACACUGGAACUGAGACACGGUCCAGACUCCUACGGGAGGCAGCAGUGGGGAAUAUUGCACAAUGGGCGCAAGCCUGAUGCAGCCAUGCCGCGUGUGUGAAGAAGGCCUUCGGGUUGUAAAGCACUUUCAGCGAGGAGGAAGGUGGUGAGCUUAAUACGCUCAUCAAUUGACGUUACUCGCAGAAGAAGCACCGGCUAACUCCGUGCCAGCAGCCGCGGUAAUACGGAGGGUGCAAGCGUUAAUCGGAAUUACUGGGCGUAAAGCGCACGCAGGCGGUUUGUUAAGUCAGAUGUGAAAUCCCCGGG